rnacentral:lncRNA from 1 species
CGCAGCAGCUUCCCAGCUGCCUCACACAUGGCAUGUGAAGGGCACACGCAGCGUUCCUGGGAGGAUUCCCCGUUGCUCUUUGUACUAGCCUAAACGCAAGUGAAGUCGAACAGUAGUACCUAGGUGCAGUCAGCUUACUACGUAGAGCAAGAAUUGGACCAAACUUUCAUUUGGAGGGAGAAGUAAGAAAAAUUAUAUGU